AGCACCCCGGAAGGGGAGUGAAAUAGAACCUGAAACCGUGUGCUUACAAGUAGUCAGAGCCCGUUAAUGGGUGAUGGCGUGCCUUUUGUAGAAUGAACCGGCGAGUUACGAUUUGAUGCAAGGUUAAGCAGUAAAUGUGGAGCCGUAGCGAAAGCGAGUCUGAAUAGGGCGUUUAGUAUUUGGUCGUAGACCCGAAACCAGGUGAUCUACCCUUGGUCAGGUUGAAGUUCAGGUAACACUGAAUGGAGGACCGAACCGACUUACGUUGAAAAGUGAGCGGAUGAACUGAGGGUAGCGGAGAAAUUCCAAUCGAACCUGGAGAUAGCUGGUUCUCUCCGAAAUAGCUUUAGGGCUAGCCUCAAGUGAUGAUUAUUGGAGGUAGAGCACUGUUUGGACGAGGGGCCCCUCUCGGGUUACCGAAUUCAGACAAACUCCGAAUGCCAAUUAAUUUAACUUGGGAGUCAGAACAUGGGUGAUAAGGUCCGUGUUCGAAAGGGAAACAGCCCAGACCACCAGCUAAGGUCCCAAAAUAUAUGUUAAGUGGAAAAGGAUGUGGCGUUGCCCAGACAACUAGGAUGUUGGCUUAGAAGCAGCCAUCAUUUAAAGAGUGCGUAAUAGCUCACUAGUCGAGUGACACUGCGCCGAAAAUGUACCGGGGCUAAACAUAUUACCGAAGCUGUGGAUUGUCCUUUGGACAAUGGUAGGAGAGCGUUCUAAGGGCGUUGAAGCAUGAUCGUAAGGACAUGUGGAGCGCUUAGAAGUGAGAAUGCCGGUGUGAGUAGCGAAAGACGGGUGAGAAUCCCGUCCACCGAUUGACUAAGGUUUCCAGAGGAAGGCUCGUCCGCUCUGGGUUAGUCGGGUCCUAAGCUGAGGCCGACAGGCGUAGGCGAUGGAUAACAGGUUGAUAUUCCUGUACCACCUAUAAUCGUUUUAAUCGAUGGGGGGACGCAGUAGGAUAGGCGAAGCGUGCGAUUGGAUUGCACGUCUAAGCAGUAAGGCUGAGUAUUAGGCAAAUCCGGUACUCGUUAAGGCUGAGCUGUGAUGGGGAGAAGACAUUGUGUCUUCGAGUCGUUGAUUUCACACUGCCGAGAAAAGCCUCUAGAUAGAAAAUAGGUGCCCGUACCGCAAACCGACACAGGUAGUCAAGAUGAGAAUUCUAAGGUGAGCGAGCGAACUCUCGUUAAGGAACUCGGCAAAAUGACCCCGUAACUUCGGGAGAAGGGGUGCUCUUUAGGGUUAACGCCCAGAAGAGCCGCAGUGAAUAGGCCCAAGCGACUGUUUAUCAAAAACACAGGUCUCUGCUAAACCGUAAGGUGAUGUAUAGGGGCUGACGCCUGCCCGGUGCUGGAAGGUUAAGAGGAGUGGUUAGCUUCUGCGAAGCUACGAAUCGAAGCCCCAGUAAACGGCGGCCGUAACUAUAACGGUCCUAAGGUAGCGAAAUUCCUUGUCGGGUAAGUUCCGACCCGCACGAAAGGCGUAACGAUUUGGGCACUGUCUCAACGAGAGACUCGGUGAAAUCAUAGUACCUGUGAAGAUGCAGGUUACCCGCGACAGGACGGAAAGACCCCGUGGAGCUUUACUGUAGCCUGAUAUUGAAAUUCGGCACAGCUUGUACAGGAUAGGUAGGAGCCUUUGAAACGUGAGCGCUAGCUUACGUGGAGGCGCUGGUGGGAUACUACCCUAGCUGUGUUGGCUUUCUAACCCGCACCACUUAUCGUGGUGGGAGACAGUGUCAGGCGGGCAGUUUGACUGGGGCGGUCGCCUCCUAAAAGGUAACGGAGGCGCUCAAAGGUUCCCUCAGAAUGGUUGGAAAUCAUUCAUAGAGUGUAAAGGCAUAAGGGAGCUUGACUGCGAGACCUACAAGUCGAGCAGGGUCGAA
rnacentral:rRNA from 1 species